rnacentral:rRNA from 1 species
CAGCAGCCGCGGUAAUACGGAGGGUGCAAGCGUUAAUCGGAAUUACUGGGCGUAAAGCGCACGCAGGCGGUCUGACAAGUCAGAUGUGAAAUCCCCGGGCUUAACCUGGGAACUGCAUUUGAAACUGUCAGGCUGGAGUCUUGUAGAGGGGGGUAGAAUUCCAGGUGUAGCGGUGAAAUGCGUAGAGAUCUGGAGGAAUACCGGUGGCGAAGGCGGCCCCCUGGACAAAGACUGACGCUCAGGUGCGAAAGCGUGGGGAGCAAACAGGAUUAGAGACCCGUGUAGUCCCUGUCUCUUAUAC